UACGUAGGGCGCAAGCGUUGUCCGGAAUUAUUGGGCGUAAAGAGCUCGUAGGCGGUCUGUCGCGUCGGCUGUGAAAGCCCGGGGCUCAACCCCGGGUCUGCAGCCGAUACGGGCAAACUAGAAUUCGGUAGGGGAGACUGGAAUUCCUGGUGUAGCGGUGAAAUGCGCAGAUAUCAGGAGGAACACCGGUGGCGAAGGCGGGUCUCUGGGCCGAUAUUGACGCUGAGGAGCGAAAGCGUGGGGAGCGAACAGG
rnacentral:rRNA from 1 species